rnacentral:lncRNA from 1 species
CCAGUUUGAUAGUCCACUCCAACUCCGCACAGCGCUCCUGAUUUCGUAGGCGAUUUCAAAAUCAGUUGGCCCUUUCCCCUAAAUCCAAUUCCUUAUCGGUGAGCGACGAGCAUGAACGGUGUGCUGAAUCUGAAGUCCCCACUCCGCAAGCCCGCAAGUACGCAAAGGCGUCUGCAACUGCCAACUUCCAACUGGUACGAUUGUGAUAUGUGAAUUUGUGAUAUCAUUAUCAUUUCAAUUUCAAUUUUCAUACGUUAAAUUGGGGCAUGUUUAUUGUUUAUGUUUAAUUAUUGUUUUUUUUUUAGUAGUUUGUUAUGCGCUCUCUCUCUCUCUGCCUAAUUAGGUAUUAAUUUUUAGGGUUUUGAUUUUUGAAUUGCUUCAGCUUAGGCUUACAGCUUAUUUGGGGAUUUUGUUGGAAUUGGUUUUAUUGUGAUGUUUUCAGUUGAGCGGUUUAGAGAUUUGCGGUAUUUUUAAAUUUUAUCUGUAAAUAAUCUCGUGACUUUCGUCCUUUUGAGUUUUGAUUUAAGUUUUUAUGAAUUUGUUUUAUUGUGAUUUAAGUUUGUAUGAAGUGUUUAUGGCUUUCAAUAAAUGGUGGAAACUGGAAAGUAAAUAAGUAAUGCCGUAGUGGGAGAAACGGGUUUGAUAACGAAAUUUGGGGCUUUUAAUAAAUGGUGGGAAGUUGGAAAGUUUUUAUGAUGGUUAAUAAAUGGUUGAAUUGUUGAAUUUUUAAUCAACUCUAAUUGAAAAUUAAAUUGGGGCAUUUUGUAGAUUAUGGAACGAUUUUUUUAACCGAAACGAAAGUCUAUACCUAGUUCUCCUAGUUCGAGUUGUGCUUCUAGUCCCGCUGCCGCUACUAGUUGAUCACUCGAGUUGUUAAAUAACACAAAGAAGUCUCGGGCCACCGACCAGACUGGGCUUUUACGAUCAUUGAUUGUCAACGGACGAUGAUCAACGGUCAAAUUCAACCUUCGCCCUAACUGAAGGUUGAUGCUGGAUUCGCCCCUAAGGGUAGGUUUUACUUUUAUUCUCUUAUAUUUUACUUCCGUUAUUAAUAAAUCAAGACACCUAGAGUGUUUAUUAUUGUUAACAAAGAAAACUAACUUUAAAAAAUAUUUUAGACAAAAUAGAAAAUAAGUUAAGACUUACUUUUUAAGCAUAGUACAUGUUCUUAAAUUGUUAUUCACAAAGUGGUGAAAGGAAUUAUAAAGAUGCCAACAUAUUUUGGAGAUGAUUUGUAUAAAUCUCCACAUCAUUUUUGCAUCGAUAGCAUGAAUUUUCUCUUUUCAAAGUAUCAAUCAAUAAAACCUUCCAUAAGAUAGACCAUCAAGAAAAUGUGGUGGCCGAUCUUACUGUGUGACACACAAAAGAAGAGAAGAAGAGUUGUUUAAAGAGGCAUGAGCUCCACAUUCCGUUGUCGUCAACUUUUUUCGGAUCAAUCAUUCAACCAACUCUAUGUGUUGUGCUUGAAAACUCAUACAUAAGCUGCUUAAAAACGUAGUAAUCACUCACCCAUCUAUAUCUAGAAAGUUAUUGGAUGUUUGAAGAAUAACAAGCAUGUCUUGUCAAAACCUUUCAUUUUGUAUAUCGAGGGAACUAACUCAACGACCAAUAAGCUCAAACAAAUAAUAUUUAUAUGCCUUGCAAUUAAACAACUAGAGAGAGAGAGAGAGAGAUGAGAAGGACAUAAGAAAUGGCUUAUCUUCUAAUUGCAACUAUUAUCGCUGGUAGAAUUGGCUAAAUCACAGCUGCUAAAUAUGCUUAUGUCCAAACGUCAAGUUCCGCUCUCCACUUUCGAUUAAAUGAAGAAAAGUCUAGUGAUCUACAUAGUUUUCUUGGGCUGAUAAUCUACCUUCUCUUAAGAUUAAUGAGGUAUAAGUUCAUAGCAUUUUUGUUUGAGGAUAAAAGGGGAAUUUAUAUUUUAUUUUUUAUCUGUGAAUUAUAAAGAAAAUUGACUUAAAAACAAUAAUGGAAAUAAUCGAAGAAAAAUUACAAUAUCUAUAUAUGUUAGAUAGCUAGAAUUUAAUAAGUCCAUGUUUGGUACCAAUUAAAAUCUAGAUUUUAACUUAAGUCAAAGUCAGCAAUUUAUUUCAUCAUAUAUUUUAUCGGUCCUACAACUUUUGAACUACACAUUUCAUUGAUUUCUAUCAAAAUCUACUAAAAUUCUAAUUUUAAUUCCCAUCAAGCCCAUCUUUGGUACAAAUUAAAAUUAAAAUUUUAAUCUAAAUUAAAGUCAAUAAUUAAUUUAAUUACAU